rnacentral:rRNA from 1 species
CGCAGCCGUUAUGGGUUAGUCCCGUACGAGCGUAACCCUUGUCCAUAGUUGCCAGCGUGUAAUGGCGGGAACUCUAAGGAGACUGCCGGUGUCAAACCGGAGGAAGGUGGGGACGACGUCAAGUCAUCAUGGCCCUUAUGACUAGGGCUACACACGUGCUACAAUGGUCGGUACAGAGGGCUGCCAACCCGCGAGGUGGAGCAAAUCCCUUAAAACCGGCCCUAGUCCGGAUUGGAGUCUGCAACUCGCCUCCUUGAAGUCGGAAUCGCUAGUAAUCGCGAAUCACCAUGCCCCGGUGAAUACUUUCCCGGGCCUUGUACACACCGCCCUAAA